GGCUGGGCCCUACGCGGCGCAGUUCUGUGAAUCGGGUCAGGGCCGGAAGGCAGCAGCCCUCAGCAGUUGACUGUGGGUGCCGUAGUCAGCCUGGCUGUC
rnacentral:SRP_RNA from 1 species